rnacentral:lncRNA from 1 species
GGAGAAAUGUUUUCAGUAGUUAAUAGAAUAAAACAAAAUUUUUAAUUUAACUCAUUGUUAUUUUUUAGGGCCAUAUCGCCCAGCACUACUAUGCAGAGCAUGUAUAUUUUAUGUAUAUUUGUUUUUUUUUUUAUGUUCUGUGAGCUGAUGCUGUUUCUGUUUAUAUAUUUUUUAGUAGAGGAUGAAGAAGUGCCGGAGCAUGUCUACGCCUCCAUUGAUUAUAAGAUUUCUGAUAAAGCAGAAACAGGUGGAUGUCGGAGGCAGAAGGAGCAGGAAGAUAUAUAUUACCUCGCCACUCAUCCAGACCCAGCUCCCACAGGUCUUCUAAAUGAUCCCACAUAUUCAUUGAUCCAGAAUCCGGUCAACACACAGCACAAAGCUGAUCCUGAUGGAGAAGGGCUGUACAGUCUGGCUCAGAGACCGACCUCAACAGCAGAAGAUCCACAAACAUCUAAAACUGAUUCUUAAUCUGAAAAAUCUUCUCCACAGCUGGACUCUUCCGUUAAUGCGAUUACCACUCUGUGGAUUACUGUGCUGCAGCUAGCUGUUGUUAAAUAUUAUGUAUUUGUAUUUAAUAUAUUAUUGCUUAAGAAAAUAUGGAAAAUUAUUUUACAAUAAAAUGAG